rnacentral:rRNA from 1 species
GUCUGGAAAGGCGUGCGAUACAGGGUGACAGCCCCGUACACAAAAAUGCACAUACUGUGAGCUCGAUGAGUAGGGCGGGACACGUGGUAUCCUGUCUGAAUAUGGGGGGACCAUCCUCCAAGGCUAAAUACUCCUGACUGACCGAUAGUGAACCAGUACCGUGAGGGAAAGGCGAAAAGAACCCCGGCGAGGGGAGUGAAAAAGAACCUGAAACCGUGUACGUACAAGCAGUGGGAGCACGCUUCGGCGUGUGACUGCGUACCUUUUGUAUAAUGGGUCAGCGACUUAUAUUCUGUAGCAAGGUUAACCGAAUAGGGGAGCCGAAGGGAAACCGAGUCUUAACUGGGCGUUAAGUUGCAGGGUAUAGACCCGAAACCCGGUGAUCUAGCCAUGGGCAGGUUGAAGGUUGGGUAACACUAACUGGAGGACCGAACCGACUAAUGUUGAAAAAUUAGCGGAUGACUUGUGGCUGGGGGUGAAAGGCCAAUCAAACCGGGAGAUAGCUGGUUCUCCCCGAAAGCUAUUUAGGUAGCGCCUCGUGAAUUCAUCUCCGGGGGUAGAGCACUGUUUCGGCAAGGGGGUCAUCCCGACUUACCAACCCGAUGCAAACUGCGAAUACCGGAGAAUGUUAUCACGGGAGACACACGGCGGGUGCUAACGUCCGUCGUGAAGAGGGAAACAACCCAGACCGCCAGCUAAGGUCCCAAAGUCAUGGUUAAGUGGGAAACGAUGUGGGAAGGCCCAGACAGCCAGGAUGUUGGCUUAGAAGCAGCCAUCAUUUAAAGAAAGCGUAAUAGCUCACUGGUCGAGUCGGCCUGCGCGGAAGAUGUAACGGGGCUAAACCAUGCACCGAAGCUGCGGCAGCGACACUGUGUGUUGUUGGGUAGGGGAGCGUUCUGUAAGCCUGUGAAGGUGUGCUGUGAGGUAUGCUGGAGGUAUCAGAAGUGCGAAUGCUGACAUAAGUAACGAUAAAGCGGGUGAAAAGCCCGCUCGCCGGAAGACCAAGGGUUCCUGUCCAACGUUAAUCGGGGCAGGGUGAGUCGACCCCUAAGGCGAGGCCGAAAGGCGUAGUCGAUGGGAAACAGGUUAAUAUUCCUGUACUUGGUGUUACUGCGAAGGGGGGACGGAGAAGGCUAUGUUGGCCGGGCGACGGUUGUCCCGGUUUAAGCGUGUAGGCUGGUUUUCCAGGCAAAUCCGGAAAAUCAAGGCUGAGGCGUGAUGACGAGGCACUACGGUGCUGAAGCAACAAAUGCCCUGCUUCCAGGAAAAGCCUCUAAGCAUCAGGUAACAUCAAAUCGUACCCCAAACCGACACAGGUGGUCAGGUAGAGAAUACCAAGGCGCUUGAGAGAACUCGGGUGAAGGAACUAGGCAAAAUGGUGCCGUAACUUCGGGAGAAGGCACGCUGAUAUGUAGGUGAAGCGACUUGCUCGUGGAGCUGAAAUCAGUCGAAGAUACCAGCUGGCUGCAACUGUUUAUUAAAAACACAGCACUGUGCAAACACGAAAGUGGACGUAUACGGUGUGACGCCUGCCCGGUGCCGGAAGGUUAAUUGAUGGGGUCAGCGCAAGCGAAGCUCUUGAUCGAAGCCCCGGUAAACGGCGGCCGUAACUAUAACGGUCCUAAGGUAGCGAAAUUCCUUGUCGGGUAAGUUCCGACCUGCACGAAUGGCGUAAUGAUGGCCAGGCUGUCUCCACCCGAGACUCAGUGAAAUUGAACUCGCUGUGAAGAUGCAGUGUACCCGCGGCAAGACGGAAAGACCCCGUGAACCUUUACUAUAGCUUGACACUGAACAUUGAGCCUUGAUGUGUAGGAUAGGUGGGAGGCUUAGAAGUGUGGACGCCAGUCUGCAUGGAGCCGACCUUGAAAUACCACCCUUUAAUGUUUGAUGUUCUAACGUUGACCCGUGAUCCGGGUUGCGGACAGUGUCUGGUGGGUAGUUUGACUGGGGCGGUCUCCUCCUAAAGAGUAACGGAGGAGCACGAAGGUUGGCUAAUCCUGGUCGGACAUCAGGAGGUUAGUGCAAUGGCAUAAGCCAGCUUGACUGCGAGCGUGACGGCGCGAGCAGGUGCGAAAGCAGGUCAUAGUGAUCCGGUGGUUCUGAAUGGAAGGGCCAUCGCUCAACGGAUAAAAGGUACUCCGGGGAUAACAGGCUGAUACCGCCCAAGAGUUCAUAUCGACGGCGGUGUUUGGCACCUCGAUGUCGGCUCAUCACAUCCUGGGGCUGAAGUAGGUCCCAAGGGUAUGGCUGUUCGCCAUUUAAAGUGGUACGCGAGCUGGGUUUAGAACGUCGUGAGACAGUUCGGUCCCUAUCUGCCGUGGGCGCUGGAGAACUGAGGGGGGCUGCUCCUAGUACGAGAGGACCGGAGUGGACGCAUCACUGGUGUUCGGGUUGUCAUGCCAAUGGCACUGCCCGGUAGCUAAAUGCGGAAGAGAUAAGUGCUGAAAGCAUCUAAGCACGAAACUUGCCCCGAGAUGAGUUCUCCCUGACCCUUUAAGGGUCCUGAAGGAACGUUGAAGACGACGACGUUGAUAGGCCGGGUGUGUAAGCGCAGCGAUGCGUUGAGCUAACCGGUACUAAUGAACCGUGAGGCUUAACCUU